UGUAACCCAGGUUUUUGGGGUAAUCCAGUUAUCUCUAAUAGUUAAGGUUAUGUCUCCCUUUCAAUUUUUCAUCCUGUUCACCAAUUUUGUACUAAGUGUGAAAUCCCGUGAGAUUUUGUGGGAUUUUAGUUUUAAAAAGUGGGGCGGUGCCCAUUGUUUGGUCAUGAACAAGGAAAUUGUUUGGUCUCAUGAACAAGGAAGUUCAGGGCUGGCUGUUGCAGUUUCUAGAUGCCUGUACUCUACACUGAAUGGGUAUUCUUAUGGCUUAGAAAUGGGAAGCAAUGAACUGGCCAGGUCCUCAUUUGAUG